GUCGAACGCCCCGCAAGGGGAGUGGCAGACGGGUGAGUAACGCGUGGGAACAUACCCUUUCCUGCGGAAUAGCUCCGGGAAACUGGAAUUAAUACCGCAUACGCCCUACGGGGGAAAGAUUUAUCGGGGAAGGAUUGGCCCGCGUUGGAUUAGCUAGUUGGUGGGGUAAAGGCCUACCAAGGCGACGAUCCAUAGCUGGUCUGAGAGGAUGAUCAGCCACAUUGGGACUGAGACACGGCCCAAACUCCUACGGGAGGCAGCAGUGGGGAAUAUUGGACAAUGGGCGCAAGCCUGAUCCAGCCAUGCCGCGUGAGUGAUGAAGGCCUUAGGGUUGUAAAGCUCUUUCACCGGAGAAGAUAAUGACGGUAUCCGGAGAAGAAGCCCCGGCUAACUUCGUGCCAGCAGCCGCGGUAAUACGAAGGGGGCUAGCGUUGUUCGGAAUUACUGGGCGUAAAGCGCACGUAGGCGGAUAUUUAAGUCAGGGGUGAAAUCCCAGAGCUCAACUCUGGAACUGCCUUUGAUACUGGGUAUCUUGAGUAUGGAAGAGGUAAGUGGAAUUCCGAGUGUAGAGGUGAAAUUCGUAGAUAUUCGGAGGAACACCAGUGGCGAAGGCGGCUUACU
rnacentral:rRNA from 1 species